GGGUGUAGCUCAGAUGGGAGAGCACCUGCUUUGCAAGCAGGGGGUCAUCGGUUCGAUCCCGUAUUCAAUAUUCA
rnacentral:tRNA from 1 species